UACAGAGGGUGCAAGCGUUGUUCGGAAUUAUUGGGCGUAAAGGGCGCGUAGGCGGUGCGGUAAGUCUGUAGUGAAAUCUCUGGGCUCAACUCAGAGUCUGCUGCAGAAACUGCCGUGCUUGAGUGUGGGAGAGGUGAGUGGAAUUCCCGGUGUAGCGGUGAAAUGCGUAGAGAUCAUGAGGAAGACCAGUGGCGAAGGCGGGUCUCUGGACAGUUCCUGACACUGAGGCACGAAGGCCAGGGGAGCAAACGGG
rnacentral:rRNA from 1 species